GGAAUAUUGGACAAUGGGCGCAAGCCUGAUCCAGCCAUACCGCGUGGGUGAGGAAGGCCUUCGGGUUGUAAAGCCCUUUUGUUGGGAAAGAAAUCCAGCCGGCUAAUACCUGGUUGGGAUGACGGUACCCAAAGAAUAAGCACCGGCUAACUUCGUGCCAGCAGCCGCGGUAAUACGAAGGGUGCAAGCGUUACUCGGAAUUACUGGGCGUAAAGCGUGCGUAGGUGGUCGUUUAAGUCCGUUGUGAAAGCCCUGGGCUCAACCUGGGAACUGCAGUGGAUACUGGACGACUAGAGUGUGGUAGAGGGUAGCGGAAUUCCUGGUGUAGCAGUGAAAUGCGUAGAGAUCAGGAGGAACAUCCAUGGCGAAGGCAGCUACCUGGACCAACACUGACACUGAGGCACGAAAGCGUGGGGAGCAAACA
rnacentral:rRNA from 1 species